rnacentral:rRNA from 1 species
GAUGAACGCUAGCUACAGGCUUAACACAUGCAAGUCGAGGGGAAACGAUAGAGAAAGCUUGCUUUUUCUAGGCGUCGACCGGCGCACGGGUGAGUAACGCGUAUCCAACCUGCCCAUCACUUGGGGAUAACCUUGCGAAAGUAAGACUAAUACCCAAUGACGUCUCUAGAAGACAUCUGAAAGAGAUUAAAGAUUUAUCGGUGAUGGAUGGGGAUGCGCCUGAUUAGCUUGUUGGCGGGGUAACGGCCCACCAAGGCGACGAUCAGUAGGGGUUCUGAGAGGAAGGUCCCCCACAUUGGAACUGAGACACGGUCCAAACUCCUACGGGAGGCAGCAGUGAGGAAUAUUGGUCAAUGGGCGAGAGCCUGAACCAGCCAAGUAGCGUGCAGGAUGACGGCCCUAUGGGUUGUAAACUGCUUUUAUAAGGGAAUAAAGUGAGUCUCGUGAGACUUUUUGCAUGUACCUUAUGAAUAAGGACCGGCUAAUUCCGUGCCAGCAGCCGCAGUAA